GAUGAACGCUAGCUACAGGCUUAACACAUGCAAGUCGAGGGACCGGCGCACGGGUGAGUAACACGUAUCCAACCUGCCCUUUACUCGGGGAUAGCCUUUCGAAAGAAAGAUUAAUACCCGAUAUAAAGGAUGGGGAUGCGUUCCAUUAGGUUGUUGGUGAGGUAACGGCUCACCAAGCCUUCGAUGGUUAGGGGUUCUGAGAGGAAGUUACCCCACAUUGGAGAUGCGACACAGUCCAAACUCCUACGGGGGGCAGCAGUGAGGAGUAUUAGUGAAUGGGCGCUAGCCUGAACCAGCCAAGUAGCGUGAUGAGUGAAGGCUUAUGGAUCGUAAACUUCUUUUAUAUAAGAAUAUGUAUUAUAUGAAUAAGGAUCGGCUAACUCCGUGCCAGCAGCCGCGGUAAUUC
rnacentral:rRNA from 1 species